GACGAACGCUGGCGGCGUGCUUAACACAUGCAAGUCGAGCGGUAAGGCCCUUUUGGGGGUACGACGAGCGGCGAACGGGUGGAGUAACACGUGGGUGGACCUCGCCCUCCAGCUCUGGGAGUAGGCCGUGGGAAACGUGGGUCGUAAUACCGGAUAUGCACUGCUUAUCGCAUGGUGGGUGGUGGAAAGUCCUGUUCUGUAAUGGNGUUGGGGCGGGCUGGGGAGUGGGCCCGGCGGCCUAUCAGC
rnacentral:rRNA from 1 species